rnacentral:rRNA from 1 species
GCAAGCGUUGUUCGGAUUUACUGGGCGUAAAGGGCGCGUAGGCGGUCAGCACAAGUCAGUUGUGAAAUCUCCGGGCUUAACUCGGAAAGGUCAACUGAUACUGUGCGACUAGAGUGCAGAAGGGGCAACUGGAAUUCUCGGUGUAGCGGUGAAAUGCGUAGAUAUCGAGAGGAACACCUGCGGCGAAGGCGGGUUGCUGGGCUGACACUGACGCUGAGGCGCGAAAGCCAGGGGAGCGAACGGG